rnacentral:rRNA from 1 species
CCUACGGGUGGCAGCAGUGGGGAAUAUUGCGCAAUGGGCGAAAGCCUGACGCAGCGACGCCGCGUGAGGGAUGAAGGUCUUCGGAUCGUAAACCUCUGUCAGCAGGGAAGAACGGUCACUGUGCUAAUCAGCAGUGAAUUGACGGUACCUGCAAAGGAAGCACCGGUUAAAUCCGUGCCAGCAGCCGCGGUAAUACGGGGGGUGGGAGCGUUAAUCGGAAUUACUGGGCGGAAAACGCUCGUAGGCGGUAUGUCAAGUCAAGGGUGAAAUCCCCGCGCUCAACGUGGGAACUGCCUUUGAAACUGGCAAACUGGAGUGUGUGAGAGGAUAGUGGAAUUCCAGGUGUAGGAGUGAAAUGCGUAGAUAUCUGGAGGAACAUCAGUGGCGAAGGCGACUAUCUGGCACAUAACUGACGCUGAGGAGCGAAAGCGUGGGUAGCAAACAGGAUUAGAUACCCCGGUAGUC